UAAGCUGUCAGUUAGGUUUUGAUUUCAGUUAUCGGUGCACACAAGUCGCUUAUUAACGCAAAAUCAACGGCCAAGCUCAUCUGCCUAGUAUUUGGCAAUUCACUAUUGCUCGCUUCAAUACAGUAGAUUUGUAAUAUUUUACGUGAAAUUCAAAAUAUAACAGCAAACUGGAGCAGACGGUAAAUUACAAUUACAGAAACAUCCAAUAAACGGACUUGUAUCUACUGCACUGAUUAUAAAAUGAGUGCUGUUGUAAACUUAGACAACGCCAACAAGUUGUUUGUGUCAUCUACUACCAUAGUGAUACCUAAUACUAAUAAUAAUAAUAAUAAUAACGUUAUUGAAAAUAAACGAAUUAACAACAAUAAUGAUGGCGCCGCAAUCAUCGAGAUUGAUAACGCAAUCGUUGCCGAUAACGAACGGUUCAACAAAAUGGCAAAUUUCGAAGAUAUUGUGCAAAGAUGUCGCACCGCGUUCGCCAGUGGAAAAACAAAAGACGUGAAUUUCAGGCGUAAACAGUUAGAGAGCCUUUUAAAGAUGUAUGAGGACCAUGAAACUGAAAUGAUUCAAGCACUGGAUGCAGACUUGCGACGCCCCAAGCAAGAAAGUUUAGUUGUUGAAACAGAAUUUCUCAAGAACGAUAUCAAACACAUAUUAUAUAACCUUAAUGAUUGGGUAAAACCCGAAACACCUGAAAAAUCGUUGGUGAAUUUACUGGACGAUGUACAGAUCUUCAAUGAUCCCUAUGGUGUAGUUCUAGUGAUUGGUGCAUGGAAUUAUCCACUACAACUGCUACUUGUGCCAGUGGCAUCGGCUAUAGCUGCAGGAAAUUGCGUCGUAAUCAAGCCAAGUGAAAUUUCCACCAACUGUGCUAAAUUCGUUACAGAAAUGGUACCAAAAUAUUUAGACAACGAUUGCUAUCCAGUUGUAUGUGGGGGACCCACGGAAACCGCUGAAUUGUUGAAACAACGUUUUGACUACAUUUUCUACACUGGCUCCACAAGAGUGGGUAAAAUAAUACAUGCUGCUGCCAAUAAGUAUCUAACGCCAGUAACUUUAGAAUUGGGCGGCAAAAGUCCCUGCUAUAUUGACAAAUCAGUUGAAUUGCGCACAGCUGCUAAACGCAUACUUUGGGGUAAACUUAUCAAUUGUGGUCAAACGUGCAUUGCACCCGAUUAUGUGCUGUGCUCGAAGGAAAUCCAAGAUAGGUUCAUUGCCGAGGCAAAAGAAGUGCUCAAAGAGUGGUAUGGCGAGGAUAUCAAAAGCAGUCCGGAUCUCAGUCGUAUUAUUAAUCAUAAUAAUUUUCAACGCUUACUUGGACUGAUGAAGAGCGGCAAAGUUGCUGUCGGUGGAAAUUAUGAUGCUUCUGAACGAUAUAUUGAGCCAACCAUACUAACUGAUGUCAAAACUGACGACCCCAUUAUGCAAGAGGAAAUAUUCGGACCGCUUUUGCCAAUUUUCACAGUAGAAAAUGCCUACGAUGCAAUUAAAUUCAUCAAUUCCAGAGAAGCACCACUUUGCGCGUAUAUAUUCACAGCGGACGCUGCGGUACAAAAUUUAUUUAAACGCGACAUCCAAUCGGGCGGAAUGUGUAUGAAUGAAACUAUAAUGCAUUAUGCUGUCGAUACAUUGCCUUUUGGCGGCGUUGGAUCUAGUGGCAUGGGACGCUAUCACGGUAAAUAUGGAUUUGAAACAUUCACACAUAAGAAAUCGUGCCUUGGAAAGGAUUUAAAUCCAUUGGGCGAACUCUUGGCAUCUGGUCGUUAUCCGCCUUAUUCAGAUCGUAAAUCUUCGCUAUUGGGUUUUCUGCUGCGCAAACGUCGGCCCUUUCCGAAAAUAUACCUGUCACAUUUAUUAGCCGUGGGACUGGGUAUUGGCAUCACAGUACUUUUUACUCAUUAUUUACAGGCGAUAAAAGGAAAAUUAUUUUCACGAUAAUAUCGCUCUUCCUAUGGCCGAUUUACAUAUGUACAUGCAUUAUAUUGAUCAACACAUUCACCAUACAAGCUUUGAUGGUUUUGCUUAUAUACAUAUAUACAUACAUAUUUAUGUACGAGUGGGCUUUUCGAUGAUCAGCAUCUCAUCGUGGUGGUGUCUUAAACUGAGUGGUAACGAUAAGAAAUGAUUGUUCAUUAAGAAAACUUAGUUAUACUAUCAAAUGCUGAAUGUGAAAUAAGCAGGUCGUUGACUUGAAAUAUGUACAUACAUAUAUGUAUUUCUAAAAAUGUUAUUUAAUAUAUAUUGUAAACUUAUUUUAUAUGUAAUAAAAAUAAAUAAAA
rnacentral:misc_RNA from 1 species